GGAGGAGUUAUGUUCAUAGAAGCUCUGCUCUUAGUUGCAUUUUCUAGUUCUGAAGUGUGUAGCUAAAUGGACGGGGUAUCAAUAAAGCUUAGGACUAAUGUAUCCGCAAGGAUGGCAUCUAUGUGGUCAUACCGUUGGUCUAGUUUUAAUGGUCAUCGACCCCUUGAAGUUACCAUAAAUUGAGACAUCAUUGAGCUCCGCCUUCCUACUCCACUCGCUUGUCACUAGGGGCAUAAAUGAAUUAAGCUGGGCCAAAUUUUAAAGAGUUCAAGCUUAGUUCGUCAAAAAUUUUUAAAGUUUGAGAGGAA
rnacentral:misc_RNA from 1 species